UACGAAGGGGGCUAGCGUUGCUCGGAAUCACUGGGCGUAAAGCGCACGUAGGCGGCUUCUUAAGUCAGGGGUGAAAUCCUGGAGCUCAACUCCAGAACUGCCUUUGAUACUGAGGAGCUUGAGUCCGGGAGAGGUGAGUGGAACUGCGAGUGUAGAGGUGAAAUUCGUAGAUAUUCGCAAGAACACCAGUGGCGAAGGCGGCUCAUUGGCCCGGUACUGACGCUGAGGUGCGAAAGCGUGGGGAGCAAACAGG
rnacentral:rRNA from 1 species